rnacentral:rRNA from 1 species
AACUUUCAACAAAGGAUCUCUUGGCUCUCGCAUCGAUGAAGAACGCAGCGAAGCGCGAAAUGUAGUGUGAAUCGCAGAACAUUGUGAAUCAUCGAAUCUUUGAACGCGCAUUGCGCCUCUCUUAACAGGGAGGCAUGCCUGUCUGAGUCUCAUUU